UCCUCUCUCUCUCUCUCUCUCUCUCACUCUCUCUCUCUUCUCUCUCUGUGUGUAUAUAUAUAUAUAUACACAUAUUUCAGUUUAGUUUUUGUGAUUUUAUUGUUUGGUUAAUUUAAUUUGGGUGCAGUGGAUUUGGACUAGGGUUGUAUCCAAUUAUUGGUUAGGACAUUGGUUUUCUUUGUUGCCAAUUGAAUAUACGUAUGAUUACGUUUGUUGAAUUGCACUGCUUUAAAUGCUUUUUCCUAACUCCAGGCCUUGAAAUUGAUCUAAUUUGCAAAAAAUAAUUCACUCCUUGGCAUAUUAAUUUCUUAUUAAUUUUAUUCCUUGUGUGUGAUGAUGAGCUAUUAUUGUUCAAUCGGUUGCAUCGUGAUCAUUCAAAUUUUAGAUUGUAUGUCGAUAUAUAGUAUAUAGCCAGCGCUGGUGUUUUUGAGGUUGUUCUUGGAGAGCUUUGAGUUCGAACCAAUACAGCUCAACUCAACAUUUGUGUCAACCAUUGGAGUUGCCAUGUCUCGUUCUUGACAUCACGAUAUAUUGGUUAACAAUGUCACUAGUUGAUUUGUUUUUCUUGACAUGUUUCUCUCUCUAGGCAUCGUAAAUAUAUAUAUAUAUAUAUAUAUAUAUGGUCAUGAACUCGUUGAAUUUUCUCUGCGUACAAGUAUUGUGUUUUCAGUCCUUUUCUUUGUUGGUGCGGAUAGCUGAACAUGUGCAAGGGGGGAUCGUGAACCACAGAUCAUCGCAGCGUCCCAAUUUGUUACAUUCAAGGAGGUCAGUGAUCAUAACAAUCCUAGAUAUAAAAAGCGACACUUGGUUAUUAAAGAACUAACCUACGGAAAUAAUAGAAGAAGAAAUCUUGCAGUACAGUGGUGUAAAUAAUCCAUUCCAAAAGUAUUAAAGUUCUGUCACUAAAAGUGGUAAGAAAGACUUUGGAGGUCCCAAAUGCUUGUAAGCCUCUCAUUCGGAAGCAGCAAAGAAAGACUUUAGAGGUCCCAAAUGCUUGUGGUGAUUUUGUAAACUCAAACAUGAGUAGUUAAAGUGUACACACAAGUCAUAUUUGUGAACUGAUCUUGUUAUGCUAUUUGAGUCCUUGUGAAUUGGUUUGAUACUCGGACCUAAUGUGUUGUAUAAUUUCAUGUUACUGAUGUUUAUGUUGGAGCAAUUAUUUGGCUGAUGGUAUUGUAGGCAUCUGUGAAACAUAUUUAACAUUACAGUAAUUUGUUCACAAUAACUUGUUCUUUUUCGGUCAAAGCUUAGCUCUUUUCGGCAAACAGACAAAUAACUAGCAUUUCCCAACAUGUCCUUUUUGGUUACUGAAUACAGUUACGACACUUUUACAAAAAAAUUUACCAAACAUCUUGUUUUUCUCAAAGCGUUAUUAUAAUACUUUACCAAACACGUAGUUGUGUAUUCCACAACACAGCAGAAACAAUUUUUUUUUAAAAGCUCAACAAUACUGAACUGUCCCUCAGUACUGUUAAGUAUGUUGACUUAUGCCAAGGAAACUCCAAUCCAACCAUCAUGGAAAUCAGGACAGAACCUUGUGUAGUACAACUACUAUUUGGUGCACUGGGCAACCUACCCACUCACAUUCCAUUGACUUAUUAUGUGCCCUUCAUGGGGCAAUUAUUGCUCCUUGACCACAACUUUUGGCUCUGAAAUGAAUAUGUAAGUGUUUCUUUUAUAUGUUAGAUUCUUUUCAUAUCUAAUUGUUUCUACACUUGCUGGUAUAUCUGGUCAACUGGCACUGAUGAAAUCCUUGAAAUUUGUGCCUUUGACAUAACUUGGACCUUUUUGUUGUGUCAGAUUUUCCAACAGCUUUUUCUGUAGUCACUGGAGAAGCAACAUUAGAGUUAUCAAUGAUUUUAAGUGAGACAUCCGUAUUAUAUUUAAGGUCUAAGCCCCUUCCCACAAGUUGCAGUUGCCAGCUCUUUCCCAAUUUGGUACAAAUUAGUGCUGUGCUAGAUUAGUGGAUGUAUGGUAGCAAGAUAUGGUAAUAAUAUAUAUUGCAAGGUGACAGAGGAAAGAAGGUGAAGAUUGUAACUACAGGUGCUGCUUCCAGCGAUAUUCUUGCCCGGGUUAUGAUGCCAAACUGACCGAGCCCCCCAAGAACACUAUGAAAUAGGAUAUUUAUCCACAAUUCACCUCCAGAGGCAUCCACGUAUGGAGAACUUCCGGUGUGAAUCUGGAUUUGUGGAACCUUAAGUGAUUCCAUAUUGAUAACAACUCCUUGGUGGGCUUGUGACUGGCCCUGGAGUGAGU